GAUGAACGCUGGCGGCGUGCCUAAUACAUGCAAGUCGAGCGAACAGACGAGGAGCUUGCUCCUCUGACGUUAGCGGCGGACGGGUGAGUAACACGUGGAUAACCUACCUAUAAGACUGGGAUAACUUCGGGAAACCGGAGCUAAUACCGGAUAAUAUAUUGAACCGCAUGGUUCAAUAGUGAAAGACGGUUUUGCUGUCACUUAUAGAUGGAUCCGCGUCGCAUUAGCUAGUUGGUAAGGUAACGGCCUACCAAGGCAACGAUGCGUAGCCGACCUGAGAGGGUGAUCGGCCACACUGGAACUGAGACACGGUCCAGACUCCUACGGGAGGCAGCAGUAGGGAAUCUUGCGCAAUGGGCGAAAGCCUGACGGAGCAACGCCGCGUGAGUGAUGAAGGUCUUCGGAUCGUAAAACUCUGUUAUUAGGGAAGAACAAAUGUGUAAGUAAAUAUGCACGUCUUGACGGUACCUAAUCAGAAAGCCACGGCUAACUACGUG
rnacentral:rRNA from 1 species